UCUAGUUCCUAUUCCAAAGUUACUCCAAGG
rnacentral:piRNA from 1 species